UAUAAUUUUUACACAUUCUUAUUUGUUAUAUUAACGGCAAAAUCGCGUUUUGGACAAUCAGUAUUGGACCAAACAAAUUCUCUUUCGAGAGAUUGAGUCAUAAGUAAAAAAAGUUAGUCUUCAAAAUCGAAAUACAGUAUAACUAAAGGCUCGGCAAUUGUUACAGAGAACUAUUACAAUUAGAGUGAACUUAGUCUCCAACAAAACCAUGUGCCUAAAAAACCCUCUCCCCCCUUUAUGUGACCAAUCACCUGAUGCGCACGAGUUCAUCAUGCGUCACCGUUCAACGCUUGAGUGCAGAAAAAGCCGGGCGGCAAGUGCAAUAGUGUUUAAUACUACUAUGACCUAUUGCAUUGAUAAGAUUGCAAAAAUCAAUAAUUUCGCAAAUAAGAGAAAAUACAUUACUCUACAGUGUGACAAAAGUGAUGAAAAGCAGCAGAUGUUACAGAAUGCGUUGAGUAGUUUAGAAUAUUUCUAAUAUAAUGCAAAAAGCAAUUGAGGUUAGGUUGGGAAUUCAAGUUGUGGAGCGACAGAGCAUAGAAAUUAUUGUCUUUGCUAUUGUUAAUAAAAGAAAACGAGAAAAAAUAUACAUACAUAUAUAAAAACUUAAAUUUUCUGAAAAAGUCAUUAACUUUGAUUUGUAAUGACAAGGCGCAACGAGGCGACACUGUUGACCCAGCAUGGCUAGCGACCUAAAUAAAAUCAAGCAGCCACAACCCAAUAAUUACCACAUGUGCACAAAAGAAAACUACAAAGGAGGAGAGCGUAUAAUGGCUUGGUGUAAGUGGGUUUUUUGAUUUAAACACGCAUGCCAGUGUAAGAUCGCAAAAGAAAAUCAGAUAUUAUAACUGCAAAACUAUAAAAGUGUACAAGAAAGUUGAAGCAUAAGAAAAAUAUUGCGAAAAAAAUGACAAAGAAAACUCAUCAAUAGCAAAGUGACACACAAUAUUGACGUUUGACGAUUAAAGCUCAGCACGAGAUGUAUUAUCACAGACAACAACAAUCAAAGUUCAUUAACAUUCGACACUGAAACGAAUUGCAUGAUUUCUUUGGCACAACAACUACAAACAAGAUAAUAAUAACAUAAAAAAUGCGUAAAAGCCAUAAUUAAUAACGAAGAAGAAAGCAAAACAUGGAAUGUGCGAAAAAUGAGGCGCAGCGAAUUGUUACACAGACAAAUAGUAAAGUCGUUAAAACCAAUCUCGAAACAAAAUAUGUAUUAGUUUUGACACAGUAACAAUGAUCGGAAGAUGACAAAUGACAUGAUUUACACGCACAAACUUCAAAAAGCAAACAUAUGUAUGUUCGCUCAUAUUAUAACUCUCUGUCUUCGAUAUAUUGCAAAAGAGAAAUAGUGUUCCACUGAAUUCCAGUUGCUGCAACACAUGCGCCACAGGUGAACAGGUGAAGUUUGCAACAACGCAAGUCACAAUGACAGCUCUCACUAUUUAUAACCAUUUAUGUACACAUGUAUGGCGCAGCUGGCAGAAUGUAUUGACCGCCUUUAUUUAUAGGUAGUAUCUUGUACUUGUUUACCUUGUUUUUUCUCUCUACUACAAGGUAAUAUGUGUUUAAACUGUUCUUAUCGCAUCUAAACAUUUCUUUGGUUGCGUUGUGUUUUUUUCUUUGUUGACAUACAAAUAAAAAGUUGAAAGCUGAAGAAAACUUUCAUCAAAUGUUGGUUAACAUUUCUCUGUCAA